GGCUUACACUUCAUGUUCCCAGAGUUUAGGCUUUUAUGCACCAUCUGCUUGUAGCUCACUACAAAGUGCUUUUGAAAUAAAUGAAUUUGUUCCAUAUGUUCAUUUUAGAUCUUUGUUUUCUUCUGAUUGUACCAGUUUUAACAGAUUUUCUUUCAACUUUAUGUAGUGGUGUUUUUAUUUGUAACUGAUCAAUUAUCUAUGUUAUGAUUUCAUUGUGUAUUUAUCUUGCACGUUGUUUUCUUGCAUACGCUCGACAUAACUGUACAAGAGGACCUUGCUUUUAAGUUUUUUUUUUCUCAAGUUUUUAGGGAAAAAAACAUAUAUUCUAAAAUUCCCAAUAGUAUAAAAAAAGUGAAAUUUUUAUCAAUUUGUUUUGAAAAGUUGUAGGAAAUUUAAAAGACAGAAUAACUGAAACAUUGCAGGAAACAAUUGCAGUCAAAAAUCAAAUUCAGACAGAAUUGCAAAAUGUGUCAUAUUGAGCAUUGUGUGAUUUUAUUAAUGUCUCACUGCUGUAUCUGGUAAAUAAUUACUCAAAAAUUUACUGUCCAUUUAUGUUCCAUAAUUCUUUUAGAAAAAUUUCUUAUUCUUAAAGUGAUCCAUUUUUUUUUUGUUAUUCCUGCGUGGCUUGUCGUAAUUGUUCCCACUGUAGGUAAGAAGUAUCACAGGUUCACUCGGGCCACAACAGCGUCUCUCUCUGCAUUUUUAAACUCAGUAUGGAUACAGCGUGUCAGCUAAACAUAACAUGAAUGUAUUUAAGAGGAGGAAGUGUUCUGUCAGCUCAGAGCAGGUAUCUGUCAGCAGGCUGUAUCCUUUUAGGUUGCAGGAGGAGGAAGCAGCCUUGACCGGGCCUUUUUGCCCUGGACCGCCACCCGACUGCCCUAGAGGGGUGGACAGUAAAUCCACCCUGGCAGCAAACAUACACACACAUACGGCUGGAUUACAACAUGUUUCCGCACUUGCAUUCGUAUCAAGUGUUUUGCUGGUCUACUUAUGAGGUGCUGAUUGAUAUACAUCGACAGUUUCAACGAAGCGGCAGGAUUAUUAUAUCAACUUUUCUGUUGCAUGUUCUGUGUUUGACAGCAGGGAAGUGGUUUUAUAAAAACAAAACAAAAAAGUCACUACCAUUCAUUUUAUUUUGGUUUAGAGAGUCAUAACAAAACCUGGGCUGCACAGUAGUACGGUGGUUAGUGCUGUUCCCUCUGAAUUGCCGUUAGCGUAAGUGUGUCCAGUUGUCUGUUUGUAUGUUAAUUAGGGUGACAACCUCUUCAGGGUUAAGCAUUAUAAUUAAAGGAUGAACAAAAAACCAAACAUCACCAGAAAAUUUUCACCAAGAGAGGUUUGGUGGAUCCCAGGCUACAGAAAUUAAAUAGCGUUUUCCUUUUCUGUUUUUCCAAAGCAUUGACCUCCAUUUUAAACUAAUACGAACAUGAGAAAGAACUAUCAGUGUCUGUGCAGCUCCUGCAGGAGGAGAUGGACCAUAGACUUCAGCAUUCAGUCUUUGGUUAUUAGCGAGUUAGAGUAUCAGAUGGGUCAUACUUACUGUGAGCAUCUUCAAAAAACAUUGGUGACAGCUGCGUUGGUCCUGAGUUAAGUCAAUGUAUCACUCAGAUGAACACUGCCGAAGGAAAGAGAGGACAAUAAUUAUGGACUUGUCUCAGAGCAGAGUGGAAAACAAGAGAAAAACCAAAACAUAUGAUGUAUGAGAGCACAAAGCUGGAUCACUGACACACACAGAGAAAUUCUAGAGAUCAGGCUGAUUCCUGGUUAGAGUCAGGUGAUUUGUCUGUUUUUUUAAGUGUACAAAUUUUUGAAAUUUGAAAUUAUCCUAUUACAAAUUUUCCAGAGAACUAAAUGGUUUGAGUGCUUUGUCUUUUUCCACUAGAUUUCUAAAAAGGAAAGUAAAUGACAAUGUAAUUUUGUAAUGCCAUAAUAGACCGAGAAGAUUAUCAUUAGUUAAAAAUGUCCCCUCGUGGAAAAUUGAUGUACAUGUUGCAUUUCAUAUUUUCAUUUCUCCUUUUUUUCCAUGUGUAAUAGGCAUUCUAGUUUCUACUUUUAACCAAACUAAGCAUAUGCUUCUGAAUAACAGGGUUAUACCAUAACCAUGUGUGUGGUGUGUGCUGGCGAAGCAGCAGGGGCAGCAUAGCUCUGCUGUAGUGGCUGAACUCCGUCCUCUUCCUUCCCUUGCUUCAGUACUCCUUCCAGCUGCUCAGAUUUACAGGUGCCACUGACCUUUUCAUCAUAGGAAGUCUCCACAACUGCCUGAGCCCCCCUCCACCGGCUCUCAUCCAUCUAUCCAUUGCACCUCCUCCUCCUCCUUCUCUUCCCCCCCCUGCUUUAAACAUGUAACCCGCUGGCCCUCCUGCAGCCAAAAAAUUACCCAUCUGCUGAAAAGCCAGGAAACUUUCUUGAUGACUCCAUCUUGCCAGUUAGCGGAAAGGAAAGUAGUGCUGGCGAGCUUGCAUCUGUUUCGCAUGAGCCCACAAUGUGCCCGCACUGGUGAAAGAAUUUAACAGGGAGCAGUUGUUUGGACUUUUUUAACUAACACCUGCUGUCUGACGGUCUUUCUCUUGAAAUACUAUGAAUAAAUCUUAUGUGUUAUACAAAUGGGUAGGUCUAGAGUCGGACUAUGUCAGUGCCAAAUAUCAGAGGUAUGACUAACGGGCAUUCUGGUAAGACCUCAACACCUUAACAUGCAACCACUGUAAAACUUCACGCCUGAUUAUUUCAGUAUGUUGUGCAGAAUUUAAACCGAGCGUCACUGGAGGAAUGUGUCUGAUUUUUGUUUCUCAUGUGGCCGCACUUUCAACACCCAGUAACAAGAUUAUUAUGAGGACUUGAAGACCCAUUUCAUAAAGGAGAGUCAGCAAACUCUGAGUCAACCCUUAAAGGGAUAUCUCGAUGUAAAAUUAAUUUAGGGUCAAACACACCAUAACACCAAUUAGACAACCCCUCAAGAGAUGAAUGUUGCUGACCGCUUGCUUCCCUAGUUACACCAACUUUAGUACUCCGCAUGAUAGCAAUACAUAGGGGUCUGAAGAGCCACACACAAACCUCAACCAAAAAGCCACUCUAUAGCCACAAAUAAUGCUCAGAACAGCACCUAACUUCAUCAACAGUACAUAUAGCGUCCCAGCCACAGCACUAGCCACCAAACAUCUUUAAACACAACUCACCUACUCUCUUCCAUCAGCCGCUUGUUUGUAGUGAGACCUCAGCCCAGUCCAUUACGGACUACAGUGGGGUGACUCAGCUCACGGAAGAACAUUUAUGAUCAUUACUUUAUCAUUUCCUUGAAGUAAUAAUCACCAUAUUAAUCCUUUUGCACUGCAGACGCGGUAGUUUUUCUGCCUUAGCGUCUGAUUGCAUUUUCAUGAAGAAAUGAUCAUAAAUGUUCUUGCUCGAGCAGGUAGCUGGCAAAGCUGUAGCAAACUGGUCAGAUAUCAGUGCGAUCUUUGGCUGAACUCAACAUAUAUCCAGCAAGAUAAAAACAACAUGAUUGAAACAGACUGAGUCUUACGGACUGAUUGAGAUAAACACUCACCCAUAAUCCUUGAAUACUAUUUUCUUGCUCAAGGAAUAGAUAUAGAUAUAAAGACAUAAAGUUGUCUCUUCAUGACCUUGGGUUUUACUCUCUUAAUUCAGUGAGAAGUGGUAGUAAAACUUGUAGUCAAUACAUUCUUACUUCUGAGCGUACUUAAUUUACAUUCAGUGAAAGCUAUUUAAUCCUCAGUUAAAGUGCACACUGCACUAAGGAGCCACUCACCAGAUGAGGUAUAUUUAUAUUUCUUGUAACUUAGUACAUAAAAAUUGAUUAUUUUCAAGCUAUAUACUUUCAAUUUUUGUUCAAGUGGAUUUCCUGUGUCCUGUACUCUGACACCGAGUUUGAUUUUGUUUCCUCUGUUUUGUAUCUAUUUGCAGCCAUGGAUCCUAAAGUGGCUUUUUUAACAGGUAAAAUUAUCUUUAUAACAACAUACAAACUGUAUACCUGCUCUAUAUCUGCAUACAGUUUUGUCUUGCUUUAGACAAGAAGUUGUGAAAUGUGCCAGAGCUCAGCUCUGUGGAUUGAUCUGAUAUGACUUGUCUGAUAAAGUCGUCUCUGGCGUUGCCUAAGAUGGGAAAGGAGAAACAUAUUUUGAUUGUCUGUCGAGUGAGUCAUUUUCUCCUUUUAACUUUUUUUAAGAAACACCAAAAAAAGAGUCAGCUAUGUAAUUUUAGGUCUCCUGACUGAACAAAUUAUACACAGAUUUUGUGAUAGGCUUAGUUGUACACUUCAUUUUUUGUGUGUUUUUAUUUUAUUUCUAUGUCAUGUUUUGUAUGUUUUUGUGUCGCAAAAAAAGUCAUAUUGGAGAAGAAAAUGAGAUAUGAGUCACUCCUGUCUGCAACGUGAGCAUUAUCAUAAUUACUUCAACAACGGGCAAUAACCUGGCUGAUCUGGCUACUGCAACCACUACAGAGGAGCACAUACAACUGAAGGAGAUCAGAGCACAGUAUGAUCACACCUGGUCUGAUCUGGUAGGUUUCUUAUUCAAUAGCUGUGAUUACAGUUGCAUUCAGAAUCAAACCCCAAAAGACUGACGCUCAGCUAAAGGUAUUCAAAUAUAGAGAUAAGUACACAACAACAACAACAACACAUGAAAAAAUUACUAUGAUUACAUAACCUUUUUAAAGUGCUACAAUACAGACAAAGAGAUCAACAGGAGGGAAGGGAGCUAAGAAGCACAGUGAAAAAAACAAUAAUAAUGUGUUCAAAUAGCUUUUACAGUUUGACUUUGGCACCCAAGGGUAAGUCAGCUGUCACCAACAAGAGUACUUAUCAUCCUCCUGGGAGCAUGAGUAGCUACUACAAAUUAAUAUCUGUAAUUACAUAUCUGAAAGACAAAGAGCUUUCCUGAGCAUCGCUUAAAUGUGGCAUUGUAAAAAUUGAAGUAAACUUAUGAGAAGCGCAUAUUCAGACAGAAAAUUUGACUUUAUCUGUAGGGACCAUUAAAAGAAAAAACUACAUUUAAGAAAACAGCAUUAUUUAACCUUCUCCUUCUUCUGCUCGGAUUAUAAUUAUCUAGAAAAAAAAACUUUUUCAAAGAUCUUUUUUGAUGAAAAAUUGCUCUCCAAGAUGUGCAUAGAGGUUGUAAAAUGAAGAUACUGUGAAGGUUAAGGUCAGUGUGAUCUUUAAACUAUACAAGGUCAGCAGACGCAUGAAGAAUAAAAAGUACAAGGGCAAGUGUUACUUGUUUAAAUCAUCUGUUGACGAUAUUUGGAAAUGAUGAUAAAGAUUCAAGAAGAUGAGGAUAAAAGACUCUGAAACCCCAGACUCGAGGACCACUUCUGUGUAUCUACUUGAUGCUUUAUUUGUGCUCCAUUCCUGCAAGAAUUAAAUGACCUCUUACAUAUCCUGAACUUUGGUGUCUGCCUCUUGUUAUUCAAGAAACAUUUUUCUAACACUGUUUUUCUUCAAAGUUUUCAGUUUGGAUGUUUUACCUUACUCCCUCAAUGACGAGCUCCUGUCAUGGCGAGGUGCUCAGAUCUCCUACAGAAAGCGUUACAAUUAAACCAUUACUGUUUACCUUUGUCACUGCAAAGCUAUCGUUGACUUUUUUUGUUGCGAAUAAAGCAGUACUUUUUUCAUCAAUCAAUCAAUCAAUCAGUCUUCAUUUAUAUAGCACAACUUCACAACUCAUCUCUAGACGUUUAGCCGAAAGAGCAAGGCUAAUGUGGCUAAUGUGGUGCACAGUGAUCCAUAGAGAGCCUGUUUAUUGUCACUCAGCUGCAAUUCAGAUGUUUUCAUUCGGUCAUUUGCAGGCUGUACAUUUAGUAAUGACACUUUUUCCUGUUUAAAAUGCCUCUGCUCCCUCCUCACAUGUAAGUAAACCCUUGGUUUUGCUGUUUGUCUGUUUAAUGUGCUUAUUGACUGACAUGAUAGAACCAAAACUACAGGAUCAUGGAGCAAAGUUGGCUCAUACUGUGCCAUUCAAAGUGGCCAUUAAGAUCUCCCCACCAGAUAGAUUAGUGCAAAUAGCCUCUUAUACGCCCGAAAGCCAAUUACACCUCCAUUCUUGUAAUAAUGAACUCAUGAACCCAGCUUUAUUGGAAAAGCCUGAGAGAUUGGAAUCAAUACGAAUGGACUGGAUGGUGCAGUGAGCUAGAUUCACUGCACAGUCUGAAAAGCUUCUCCAAACUUGAAUUUAUUUGGAUGCCAAUUGGUUCCCAACAAAAUCCAUCUUGCUCGACUGCUGAGCUUGUAUUGCUUAUUUGCAGCGUUUGAUAGAAGCAGUUGAGGGAGAGUGAUUCAGCUGCUUAAGAUGGAUAUUUACACAUUUGUAUAACCGGAUGUCAUGGUAAUGGCAAAAUAAUUAAUCUGUGUUACAGCUUCAAUCUUGAAAUUGUGCAUAAUAUAGCAAUUAGUUUCUGUGGAUUGAACCCAAGGGGAUCGUUCAGGGAUCCUGGGAAGAAAAGUGAGCUUGGCCCGCACAAUUUGACUUCUGCAAACCCACACAUACACACUCAACCCCCCCAUACACUAAACCUUUCAAGACCUGAGCAUGCUAAAUGGAAUUCUUCCAGCCUUUAGUCCAAAUGGGAUCAAAGUCCAUUGACCCCCGGUACUCCAUUAAGGUGAAUUAAUUUGCCUGCAUAUCAAAACACUAUUAAAAGACUGAGGUCAGAGUCAAGUAAAGGCCAAAAUGCUAUUGAUUCUGGAGGUCAUACUCAGACAAACAGAAUUCAGAGCAAAGACAUUUACUGGACAUUGGUUUAUGACCUCACUGUGACGCUGUAUCAUUAAGGAAAAGAUGAACAUAAACACAUACUGCCAAUGGGAGAGACAUCAGGCCAUCUAUGCGUGGAAAUCAGUGUGGUGUUACAUAAAUACUUGACAUGAUCACAAUUACUUGACACUGCAAUUUAUGGAGGUUGAUAUAAGUUGAUUUUAGAUUUCUGCACCAUAGAAACACUUAAAAGGAAGUCAAAGUGGAUCCUUGUGGUCACUAUAAAUCCUCCAGAGAGAUCAGAAAGGGUGAUUUUGAAUUCGUCUUGACUUUUACCCGUAAAACUAAAAUUCAUUCCUUAUGUUUGGCCAAAAGUCAACCUUAAAGGGAUAUUCUAGUGUAAAAUUAAGUUAGGGUCAAACAUACCGUAACACCCAUCGAGAAAUUAAUGUUGGCGACUGCUUGCUCCUCUGUUAUACCAACUUUAGUAACGACCGCAUGAUAUCAAUACACAGCGAUCUCAGGAGCCACACGCCCAACCAAAACACCACUCUAUAGCCACAAAUAAUACUCAGAAUAGCACCUCACUUCAUCAACAGUACAUACAGGGUCCCAGUCAUAGCACCAGCCUCCAAACAUCUUUUUAGCUUUGCCUUAUUUCUUUGGCAAAGAGACUAAACACAACUCACCUACUCUCUUCCAGCAGCCGCUUGUUUGUCCCGAGACUUUGACGCGGUGUCUAACUCUGUGUUAUGGUGUGUUUGUCCCCGACUUAAUUUUACGCCGGAAUACUCCUUUAACUGACUGAAAUGUUGUCACUUUUUAAACAUUGGGUUUGGGUGUAUGCUCCAUAGUUGCACUUAUUUAAUUACAUUUUUCAAUAUAACAUUAAAAGUGGGGAUGGAUGUUUUGUUAGCAAUAGCAGCAGCUAUGAACCUGGAAACUGUACCCUCAGAAAAAUGAAGGUAGUUUUUCCAAAGAUUUUUCAUGGGAUGUCUCAUCCUUUCUUCAUUUAUAUUGACUGGUGAUGUCUGUGACAUUGACAAGAACAGCAGUUUUACAAAAGUUUAAUUUCUUUCAAAUGAGAAAAGCAACAUGCAGUGACAAAAUCAGCUGAGCACUGUGAGCACAAAGAACGAUGUCAGGGGACAUAGGCCCUUACUUCUUCAUUGGUUGCUGUAAAAAUUUGCAUUUUUAAUUCCAUCAACUAUUUUCACCAUUCCUACCCCUGAUUUUUUGCUCUAAUUUAUUUCAUAAUAAUGCAAGUAUGCAUUCACUAUAAUUAGCAUUUAUCAUCCAUUUUCUAGCCAAGCUUAGGAAUCACUUAAAAAUAGAGAAAGAGAGAGAGUUCAUGCAGAAAUGUAAGAGAGACAUCGAGGGAAUUAUCUGCUGACCAACCAGCAAGGAUGCUCAUGUUUAGCAUUUGACCUCCAAAAAGAUGAACUGCUUGUUAUACUUAGUGGAGGAUUAUGAAAUGUUCAUAGCUGCCUCAUUGCUGCUUUACAUAAAACACACUCACUCACACACACACACACACACACACACACACACACACACACACACACACACACACACACCGUAACACAAGUGCUAUGGUUUUUCCAUAAAGCCACCCUCUUACAUAAAAAGUGAAUUUUACUAUAAAAAAAGUAAGUUAAUUGCCAAAACCUCAGGUUGAACUUGAACAAACUGGAAAAUUACUGCCAGCAAGCAAUAAUAAGUUCUUCAAAUGUUUUUUUUUUUUUUUUAUGAAACUGAGUUGCAAACAAAACGACAAAAAAAAACUUCUACAUAUAUGUUAAUUCAAAUCAGAUAUAUUUUACAUCCAGCACUGUUUAAACUUUAUGCGUUUUUCUUUUACAGUGCCUGAAACACAAAAACGGAGAGCAGUAAAAUCUUUUAAGCUGUGGUUUGUGGUUUCCUUUGAGUUUGUCACGGUUUGUUGUGUAUUGUGUUGUCUUGGCUGUAAACUCAUCCUGUGCUAAUUCUUAGAAACCCGAUGACGCCAGCUUGCCAACUUAAAAGCACACAAACCGACAAAAAUGCUGCCAUCCUGAGUUUUAAGUUUGAUGUCUCUGUGCCAUUUAAAGUACUCAUUGUGUUUUGUACCUAUAGUCACAUUAUGAGAUAAGGAAAGCUUUUUUUUUUUUUUUUUAUAAACACACACAGUCUGUCUGUGUUUAACAAGAUGGCUCCUCGCCACAGAGUCCCCUCUGAUGUGAAAGUUUUUGUGCGACUUGUCCCUUUUCCGGGUAAACACUGCAGUACCUGACGCCUUUCCCUAACAUGGGGAUAGUGGCACGGGAUCCUCAGGAUGGGAUGUAACUGUUUUCAGCACUUCCCUUAUGUCGCCCCCCCUCCCUCUGAAGUGCAACUCUUGCGUGUUUUAUUGCGAGGCCUGGGUGAGUAUGAAAACAAACGGAGGCCCGACUCAGAAGCUUUGAUCUCCUGUUUCCUGGUCCAUUAUUUACGUCUGUUUCUCACGAAGCUUUUUUCCCCCUCUUUCGCUUGAUUAUGCGUUUCCUCACACAUUUUCAGACAGACCCCCAGACAAUGUGCUCAACCUUAAUGGUCUCUUCUUGCAGGAAGCCAUAAAGGACUUUCUAGUUAUUUUAUUUUUUUCUGUUUCUCUUGGUCUGUUUGACAAACCAGCUUCUUCUCAUUCACGGACAACUGAAUUAUAAAGGUUAAUGAAAAUUGCAGAUACUAUAAAUUGAAGUUAUCAACACAGCUAUUAAUUGCAGAUUGAUCAUAAAUCCUACAUGUCAACUCUAAUACUUUUCAUGCCAAAACAAAACUUUGGAAACUUGAGCAAGCAAAGGGUUCACCCAGAAGAAAGUAUGAUCUGGAAUUUGGAUCAUGUGGUCAAAAAUAAAAUAUGUCACUUAAAUAAUUUUACUGCAGUGACAUUUAAAAAUAAAAAAGGGUUUUUUUUUUUUGCAGAAUAAGUUCAGUACCUGACAUUAAAAAAAUCUCUGCAUGUAAUGAAUAUAGUGUAACAUAUAGUGAGCUGCCCCUUCUCCUGAAAUACUAUGUGGACAAAAAUUAUUACUUGACCCUGCAUCGUCCAGGUUUGUGGUCUGAGGUUUUAAACCUCUACUUCCAGACCACCUCUGAGUUAGACACAGCAAAAAUUAAAGGGGGAAAGAAAAAAAAAAACUUUGAUGAAAUGACCAGAAAAACUGAAAAGAUAGAACAUGGAGUCAGUUACGAUUAACUGGAGUUCAUCACGGGGCUGAGCGGUGGGCUGACCAGCAGGUCUCUCACCCUGACCCGUACACUCCACAAGCUCAGCAGAUAGUGCAAAACAGCCCUUCUUUAGUGGAAACUACUGCUCUGUUUGAGCCAAGAUGGUAGGAGUCAUUAGAGACCCUUCCAGUGAGGGUCACUGCAUGGUCCAGUUUGUGUCCUGAGCUGAAUUUGAUGUAUGACCCAACAGUUUUUUUGGGGAAAUGUUGCAAGACAAGCCCUCCUGUAUCUUGGAUGUUGUGCUGUGUAGUGAACAGGCAGGACUGUAAAAAGGUGCUUCUCAACAUGAUGCAGCUUGAAGUGGCCCCGUAUGGUGUCUACAUGUACAGGUAUCUUUUUCACAGAGCUUUUGCAAAGACAUUGUAUUUUAAUUUAUUUAAAACUGUGUUGUUUGCUUUCUAGAGGGCUUUUUUUCAAGGUUUUUGUAGUUGAUUAUGAGUUUCUUUUUGUCUCUAUCACCAGAUGUUACGCUGUGGAAAGGUUGGAAAGCAAUAACAGAACACAAAUCAUACCACACUUGAAUACUGAAGAAUUGCAGCAUCACAUUUGAAUCUAUUUCAAUCCAAUAAACAGUUAAGCAACUGAUGGCAACCUCUAAGACUGCGCAAAACUAAUGUUGUUUUUUAUUACACGCAGUAUCAUUCACUGUUUUUUAAGCUGAUUUUGGCUUAAUGCAGAAUGAGUCUAUGUGGUGAGCAAAGAAGGCACAACCCAAUCCCCCUCACACAGUCCUAAACCCAAAGGAGGUGAUAAACAGGUGAUUUACUGUUGCUUUUAUUAAUGCCUCUUACCACACAUCUGCAUGCAAGUAAAACUAUGAAUCCAAUUUUCUGCACCAACCUAAUUCUUUGUUUUAAGUUGCUGUAAAUGCCUGCUGAAAAAAAGGGAGCCCUAAAAUUCACUAUCACUCCCAGAGGCGAAUCUUCAUUAAAAAAUUUUAAAAAAUAAAUAAAAUAAACAGAUUCAUUUUCUACGAUGGAGUAUUAGCCACAUUAAGAAAAAAAAUUAUGACUUUGUAAUUACUCACCAGAAUUAAGUCGUAUUAAAGUCAUUACUUAUGAGAAUAAAGUCCUAACAACAGGUUAGAAUAGCUAUUAGCUAUGACUUUAUUCUCGUAAUGAUUUUAUUGCAACUUUGUUGUCAUAAGUAAUGAUUUUACCACGACUUUAUUCUCAUAAGAAAUUACUUUAUCACAACUUUAUUCUUCUAAGUAAUUCCGAGGUCUAAAAUUUGUUCUUUUUUUAAUGUGGCCCUAAUGCCCCCUUGUAAUUCUCACACUACAAACACAGUCCUUUAAAAAAGCUAUUUUAAGUUUUUUUACUUGAAUGUGACAAACAUCACAUUUAGUCUGAAGUAGAUUUUUUAAAAAGUGUGAGUAAAAACAUAAAUCAAUUCUAUUAGGAAUGGUACUUUGGCAUUGUAUUGGUAGUUGACUAUAAAGAGUCUGGUGCUUUAUUUCCUGUGCUCUUCAGAGAUAUGUUGCCAGUCAUACAGUGUCCACUGCACCUUAAGUCCUCUACCGAAGUUUGUGAUUAUGACGCUCUUGAGUUUAUUGAUUUAGCCAAAGUAGACAAACAUUACUCUACACUGAACCCCAGAAACACACUUUUAUCACAGCAGGCGUUUCCUUUUGCAAACAUAAAAGCUCCCUCUUACUACAGUUACACUACGUAACAGUGUGCUACCAUCAGGAGCAGGAGUCAGUUUCAGUCGGACCUCUACUGUGAUUUUUUGCUUUAAUGAGCUGUUUUAUAGUUGUCACCCAUUAGCCAGUCAUCUAUCACUACAUCUCUCCUUGCAUCCGCCUGUCAGGUUCCAGAAUCGGAAGCACCAAUGGAGAGAUUGCAGCCAUGACGGUCACUCGGCACUAACACUUCAGGGGUAAAAUAAUUGGAGCUUGUGUGGUGGUAUUUAAGCCGACAGAACUAUGAGGAGAGAUCCUGUCCUGGAGGGGGGGUUGGACUUGAAAGGGCUAAGGGGUCGAAAGGGACUCAGAUCUGGGCAGAUAGAGAGAGCAUGACUGGGAAGUGAGUUUGGCCAUCGCGUGUUUGAAAGCAGCAGUUGGGACUCUGAUGACAGAGUGGUCUUUGGGAAUUUAAGAGCAAGGGCCCAGAAGUGGGCGUUUCACCCCGCAGAGGACCCGGCCAGGAAGGAAGGCUUUGGCUUUCAAAGCGUCCACAGCUUUAUUUAUAUUACAUAUUUUCAUCGCCAGGACUCUUUCAAAGGGACGAAAGGGCUGUUUUCCGAUUUCCAAUAGGUUCUGGCCUCUGUCUUUUAUUUCCCCACUCUGUCCCCGACAAUGUAUUUGUUUCCGGAGCGACGUUCAGCUGAGGUCUGCAUGUGAGCUUUGUGUUUACUACUGAAAGAUACAGUCAGAGUGUUAUUGUUCAAUGUGGAGAGAGUGAUGGGAGGUUGCGUGAUUGUUUUGCCUCACCUGUUUUCCAGUGGGGUCCACAAGCAGCGAGGAAUAGCUAAAAGAACAAUGAGACAGAGGCCUUGGAAUAACUGUAUGAUGAAAGGUAUGGUAUCUACACCACAGAGACAUCAAGCAGCCUUUGUUUUCGGUUUCUUAAAACCUUACAUGCUCUCUGGCCUGAGUCUCCUACAAUGACAGACAGUAAUGGCUGUAUUGUUGUUUUGUAUUAAAAUGAACUUGUCAACAGAUAUACAGUUACUGUAGAUUCCUACAUACAGGGGUAAUACAGGUUCAAAUAUAAACAUAUCCUGAAAGUAAUGUUGUCGAUUAAUGUUUGACCAUACAAUCAGUCUGGACUUUAGUCGUGCAAUAUAAUAAAUCACUUUAUUUUGAAGCCAUGCAGCAGAACUACAUAUUCUCGAAGUGUACAAAAAUGUUUUCCGGGUUAUAUUACUUUAAAUUUUUAAGUUUUCCAGUCAAAUCAUGGAGUCAAUAAACUAACAAGGAGCUGUAAUCUUUGGCUAGUAUACACAUCACCUCCCCUUUGAUGGUUAACCCCGGACAAGCCACCAGUGGCAUCAUUAACCAUCAUUAGGCCAUGACAGCUACUGAUAAAUUAGUCAUCCAUCAAAGGCUCCCAUAUCAUCUGGAGUCCCCUGGUCAUUAUUGAAGGCAAACAAUGGUGUCACAUGGUGUCCUGUCAACCUGCUCUCAUCUCUUGCUCUCUCCUCUUGGGAAUAAACCACCCCCACAGCUAAUCAGCAUACAUGCCUCGUGGGAUUAAAAAAAAUCAAAGCGAGGGCCAAUUUUCACCUUAACCUGCCAAAAUGAAAUCUAACCAACCUCCAUCUGAAACUCAGCCAACUCCACACAAAGUUCAGGCGUCGCCUUCCUUUUCCCUCUUCCCUGGACAGUGUUUGUACUGGCUAUGAUGCUGGUGUGACCGUCAUUUUGUGGCUGUUUAAAGAUGCUUGAAUGAAAGGUUUCUGACAAAACAUUUAAAAAAAUGACAUGACGUUUUCUUACACAGGUAUGACAAGGAUAAUUUUAUUUUCAUCAUAUUUGACUCUGAGGGCUCCUUAAUUUAGCCAAGUAGCAAUUAAAAAUAAAUAUAAUUCAUAUUACUUUUUUAAAAAAAUUAUAAAAAUAAUAAGUCAUUUAUUUUACCCACAUCAUGAUUUCUUUUUAGUUCUCCUUUUUACUGAUAUGCUGAAUUCAAAUAUGAUAUAAUAUUGCAUUUUAGCUGCAAAUAAAAAAAUGUUGGUAAAAUCUUUCUGGAAGUGUUGAUUUUGGCGCCCCCUGUGGACAAAGUGAUGCUUCAUUUAAAAUAUACUCCUGUUUUCUGGCAAAAAAUCAUCCUUGAAUUUCCAUCCUCAACAUAUUCUAGAUUUGGUAAUGGCACUUGAAGAGUCCUGCACAAAAAGGUGACUUCAGGUAAAGACAUUGUGACUGCGCCUCUGUAUUACGCUCCUGAGACACCUCCCUGCUGGCACAAUGCUUAAUUAAUUAAGAUGGGGGUGCCAUUCUCCCCCCAGCACCCUGGGGUAAUCAAACAGGGCAAAUUACAGCAUGUUGAGCUGUGCGCUGUGUGAGGGGAGCCACUGUGUCAUUGUUGAUUAAUUUCUCCGUAUAGAUCCUGACAGUGUGGUGCAUGUGUAACCUGUCAAAGAGCCCCCAUGUGUCUAUUCAUCACUGCCUGGGUGGUGUGUGUGUGUGUGUGGGUAGACAUGGUUUUGUGUGCACUGUGCUGUAGGUAGCAGGUGUGUCUGAUAGCAUUUGAUAGUCUUAUAUGGUUAAAAAUAUGUGUGUUUUAAGACAUCUACAUGUCUAUUCCUUUUAAAUAAGCAAACUUACCCGGCUUUUGUUUAUUUUCAUACACAUAUGAACAGCGUGCAGUACCGCCACCAUUCAAACAAGAUUGUGAUGCCUGAUAAGAACAAGUGGCGUUUCUGAUGACAAACGGCCGAUAACGUCUUGGGACUGGGCGGGUGGGGAGGACUUUGAGGAAGUGUAUUGAUUAGCCUUAUUACCCAAAGCAUCCGUCUUAGGAAUGAGUGAGGGGAGGGAAGGAGGGGGUGGGAAAUUAGCCGGGCUCCACCUCUGUUGACGGACUGAUUGCUCGGGGGGCCCUGAGGAGAACAUAUAGCUGCAGCCUGUCUAUACAUACAAUUACACACACAUACACACAUACACCUACAAGAUAAGCUAUCAUUGGACAUGUCUUUCUCUGUUUGGGAAUCUUUUCCUUGAAAAAUGUGUGUGAAAUCUACACAUACACAAAUGUGCUUUUAUUUCUUUUCUUUAUGUUUGUUUCUUAUUCAGGUUCUAGCAUGAUUUUGUUAUAAUAUUACAGACAAUGUCCUCCUUGCUACACAUACAUUCUUCUAAUAAAAGUUUAAGAAGUUUGAGAAAGCAAAAUCCAAACACUCCUAAAUGUACGCUUUAUUUUUAAAAUAUCAGAGCUUUACUUUGCCCGAAGAAAGCGACUUUACUUUGGCACGAUUUUCAGACACAAGUUAUUUAUGUUUAUUUCACAUGUGGGGCAUUUAUCAGCUUGAUAUGAAUCCAUUUUAGCUUGAGAUUAUUUUGAGCAAUAAAUGCUGUACGUUAUCUGGCAGACAGCCAUGGCAUAUAUUUUUAAUUCAUAAUAAGGUAACAUGACUAUGUACUUGCGCUGUUGUGUUUGUUAUGGGGUCCAAUGGUGCAUGGGCAGGUUUGAAGUGCAUUCACUUUUGCACAAUCAAAAAAUGGGGCUGGAAAAAAAAAUACUCUUAAUUCUAAUUUGAAUCUUUUUUUUUUAUUAUUUUAUUGUUUAUUGCACAGCUUGAUGCAUUACUGUUAACUUCCAUUGAUUUCCUUAUUUGGUCUAGUAAAAGUGAAUCUUACAAGUUACAAAGACGACUCAUGGCGAGUUUUUUUUUUUUUUUCCUCCAGCUGCAUUAAAGAAUCUAAACUCACUUUCUGUCUGGCGUGUUGAUCAGUAUCCUCUUAUCAUCUUUUAAUCAACAGUAAUCUGUGUUGUGUAAAUUAUAUAUUACACUUGUUUUAUUCCAUUUCCCAACAUGCCCCUCCACCUCUCACUACCCCACAACUUGCGUGUUAAUCACAUUUGCCUGUAAUGAUCUACUUUAGCCAGCUUAUUGAUGAAACAACUGCAAUUACUUAGCUCAAUAUUUCCCACAUUAGUCAGCCUUAGAAGUGUUUCACACAUCAGUUUAUCUGCAUGGCUUUUUAAAGGGGAUAAAUUCGGCUCCAAAGUGCAUUCAUAUUUUAUUCUAUUGAGAUAUUGCUUGGCUGAUGGGCUGCCGGUAAUUCAUAACCCUAAGUAGGAGUAAAAGUCAGAUGAGCAUGGACUUUCCUGAUAGGGAGAGCUGUUUCCAAUGGAAAAGGUUUCUCCUCUACUGCUGAGCUAAAAGAUUAAUCCAUUCAAUUACAAGUUUCCCUGUCAGGCAGCAAUGAAAUAUGGCGCUUGUUUUCCUACGGACAGAGGUAAGAUGAAGAAAAGCUUUUUCUUUGCUUUCAAAGAUCGUCUUUUACAGAUUCUGCAUUAUCACUUCUUGUUUGUGACUGGAGAGUGAAAAUUACUUCUGUGAAAUGCUGAGUUCUGUGAUGUUCGGGUCCCUUUAGGUCGCAAUAGGUGUGACCGUCUGAGUGCUGUUAAAAUGGGGUCACUUUUUUCUGCUGUUUCACCAAAUUUCCUCAAAGGUCAGAGCAGAGGAUCCUAACCCAUCAAGGGUUUUCUUUCCUCUUCCACACCAUCUUCACCCAUCCAUCAUGGUUUCAUAAGCAAAAAAAUACUCAAGCAAAGAAAUUCACCAUGCAGUUUACUUCAAAAUUACAACCCCAGAAAAGAAAACUCCUUAUGAGCCCACAUUUUAAAUCAUUACGGGACACCCCCCUUCUUGCUGUUUAGAUACCACUAACACUAAUGUGCAUUGGAUACCAAUUACUGCCCCCUGACAUCCUCCUUACAGCAAGCCAAUUCAUAUUCCAAGUCCAUCCCCACUUAACUGCAGGUGAAAAUCAUUAUGUUUUCUUCUCUUUUCUGAUUGCAUUAUUCUUGGUUAAGAAAAGCUCCCGGUUCAUUAGGAACUCCACAUACAGGGAGGGGGAGGGCUGCUGUGUUAGUGGGAUCAAUCAAUAGCCAUCUUCCCCUCGCCUUACUGUAAAUGUGCUAAAGUAUUUAUGAAUUAAUUGACUUCCCCCGUCCAAAGAAGAGGAAACCACUGUUGUCUCCUGAGCUGUGGUGCGGAGGUCACUGGCAUUCUUAGUAAUAAAUAGAAAAGGGCUCUUUUAUGAUGAUAGUGGAGUUGCUGGUGGUUACUGCGGCUUGAAUGUUGAUGGCAUGACAAAGAAAAAGAUAAGUGGACUUUAGCUCUUAGAGUUAGUGGUCUGCGGAAGCUUUAGCAUGAGUGGCAACAUACAAAUAUUUGAGAGACUGGUUGUUUAAGUCUCCAGCUACCUGGGAGAGUAUCAGCAGAGUUCGUCUUUAAAUAAGGCUGUAACGUCCUUUAAAUUCCUGGAUAGAUGUUUCAAAUGCUUCUGUUGCUUUCAGGAUUGUUAUAGUACCAGAAUUUCAAACUGAGAACUUAUAUAAGUGCAAAUCAUACAAUAGCAACAUCUGAAAAAUAAACUCCUGUUGCUAAAACAUGUAAAGAAAAGGUAACUGACACAGACCAACAUACUACUUACUACUCUUACUAUUACAAGUAAGUAAGGCAUGACGUAUUUAACUAAAAUGCUCUGGACCAAAAAGGAAAAGGGGAGUGUCCUUGAGUCAUUACUUAUAGUGUGUGAUGGUCUUUUUUUCUGCAGAUAUUCUUCUGCCUCCCUGCAUUUUCAAAUUUUCUUAUUCCGGACCCUUUAUAUUAUCAGUCAUUGUGCACUAGUGUGAAUCUCCCUGUCGACUGUCUGCACACCAUGGCCAAUCAAAAGCGGCAUAGCUGUCUCUCACAUCAGGUAUCUGUCUGCAAUAAACAUAAACAGAACUCACAUCCCUAUGAGAUGCUGAAGGGAAUUUUUUACAAGUAUUGGUAUUUGCCAACAUGCAAACAGAGCAUAUUGUCUGGACUGUUUGGACUUUCAGUGUGACAGAGAACGGAGCAGAGACACACACAGCAUGCAGGAGGAAGCAUGCAAACAAGGCCUACAAACAAAUGCAUUCAGCACCUCUUCACUUAUGAGCAUGGGCAGCUAUUGUAUUAUUCCAAAGAGCAUGUGAUAUUGAAAAGUGUCAAAGUAGUUAAGAAAUUGACAGGCUAAUUGGAAGACUAAAGUAAUCAUUUGAUUUUGUGGGCGAAUGUCCACCUUGAAUUGGUCAAAUCAUCCAAUUUCAUUUGUAGUCAAAAACUAUCAGAGCCUGUCCCUUGCAAGAAUUACAAACAUAUGUUGACAUAUUUCUGAUCUUAUUGUUAAUACACAGAGAGCCACAAAUUUAGUAUUAGUGGCAUUUCUGCUCCACGGGGAGCAUUUUUUGCAUGAAAUAGAGAGGUGAUCCGCUCUGUGAGCUUGCUAAUAGCAAAGCCUGGUGAUUUCCUAGAUGGAUUGGUAUGUGUGUGUCACACAGAUCCAUUGAGUUUUGGUGAAGGUCAGUCCCAUUGUGGCCAAGACUGUAAUAACCACAGUGACAGAUUGGAUCGAGGAGGAGGGGUGUAUCUUUAAUGUCUGCAUCGCUUCAUAGCCUGUAUCACUGAGGUGUGGAAGAGAACCAAGAUCCUUCAUUGUAGCCCCAGUGCUGUGUGUAAGGCUACUUAUGCUUGCACUAUCUGCUUUGGGGAGCGGUACACUGAUAGUCAGGUGCAAAUAUGACUUGACCCCAACAAAAUUCUAGCAAAAGAUUUCUCAGCUGUUUUUUUUUUUACAGUAUUAGAUGUCGUUAAUAACAUACUAAAAGUUUACCAAAGCUUGACCAAUAGAAAGGUGCCAUUUUCAAGAUGGCGUUCAUGAUAGGUAGGAAGCCAAGGGAAGACACCCCAGGUGAAUAGGAUAAAAUUCCAACUAACAGAUAUCACCAUGAAACUUCCCAAGUUUAUAACUUACAUUAAGACAAAUGUUUUUUGUAUUACAAGUUUUGUCAAAUGCUAUGUAUGUAUGUGUAAAUUAGGCAGUAUCUAAUUAAAUAUGCACUAAUUUGCUUACAUUUUCAGAAACCAAAAUUGAACAAUGGAUAGGACAAUGGACAAUGUUUAGGGCUAGAGUUAUGGUUACACUAAGGGGAAGGGUUAGGAAAAAUGUCACAAAAUGUUUAAGUGUUAGGGUUAAGUUGGGGCAACAUUGGGCUAUUGGGGUUAGGGGGUUAGGGUUAGAGUAAGGGUUUUUGGGGUUAGGGUUAAAAUGACUGUUCAGGACCUUUUUAGGAGCACGUUUCUGACCAUUUGGAGUCAAUUGGUACAAAAAAUAUGGAAAAAUGUCAAAAAAUAUUCAAUUGUUAGGGUUAAGUUGGGGUAACAUUGGAGUAUUUGGGUUAGGGUUAGGGUAAGGGUUAGGAUUAAAAUUACUGUCCAGGACCUUUUUAGGAGCAUGUUUCUGACCAUUUGGAGUCAAUUGGUACAAAAAAUUUGGAAAAAUGUAAAAAAAAAAAAAAAAAAAAAUCAAUUGAUAGGGUUAAGUUGGGGUAACACUGGGGUAUUGGGGUUAGGGUUAGGGUUAUGGGGUAAGGAUUAAAAUCACUGUCCAGGACCUUUUUAGGAGAAUGAGAUUGCAGAAAACUGAGACAAAGCUAACCAUCUUUAGCCACAGUUUCUUUAGCUUCACAAGUCGUUGGCACGUCACUGAAAUCCUGUUAUUGCCUCCAUAGCUCUUACCUGCCAAAUGAGUGUUCAUGAUAAUUAGUUAUACAAGGGUAGCAUAUCCAGUUGCAUAACCCUAUGAAGAAUCCGUGGUGAUGUAUAAUAUCCAGUUUCACUACUUGUUUAAGACUUUCCAUGCUAAGAAACUGCAGUAAUUAAAUCAAGGAGUCAAGAGGAGAGAUCCUCUAUAACAGUCAAACUCUUAAAAAAUAAGCCAACAACAGCAGCAGUAAUGAGGUUUAGACUACAUCCCUUGAGGUACCGUCUUUUUCUUGUGUCUAUAAAUGCCCAUACCUCUCUGAAGUCAUGUGGAACAAAGUUAUAGUUCUUUGGUCGGAUAUUUUUAAUUCAUCCCAGAUUGCGGACCACCACUGUUUGAGGUGAGUCGCUUUUUGGGGCACUGGACACACAUUGGCAGCCAGUAUUUGAAGCCGUCUAAAUCAUGUGAUGUCAUAAGAUUCAUUUUGCCCACCUCCACUUAACGUAGGAGGAUCCCCAACACUUGGGUGGUAUUGGAGACGAAGAGAGGGAGCAGGCUUUUUUUUUUUUUUUCCUUCAAACGGGAAACAUGUUGAACAAGCUUCUUCCCCUGCAUGGUCUAGCAACCGCGGGAGGAGAACAGUGUAACCAACCACCCUGAGAAAACAUUGUGGUCCGACCACCACUUAUGAUACUGGACUGGAUAUGAGGAGACGCUGGUGGGGGGGGAUUCUCAAAAGAAAGCGAGCAAAGGAGGUCUGACUGCAGGCAAACACUCUCGAUGGCUGACUUUAUAAAGAUGCAAGAUCACUUUUACAGGUUAUGUCACCCUUCAAAAGCUGUUAGCUAAAAUGUAUCUCUUCAGUUUGAGAGGUAAGUGAGAUCAUGUUUCUGUUUCGGCUUCUACCACAAGGUUUGCCAUCUUCCAGCUGUGAUAUUAACUCUUUUCUUUUAGGUGAGAGACCACACGUGAAGCCCUCUCACCCCUGUAAAGGGAAACCAAGAGUAUUUUUAGAGGAAAAACUCCUCCAAUUGGACUUUUCUGUUUGAGAUUUAUGGCCCCCUCUCUUGAGGCAAAUGAAAUAGUGCACACAACUGGACUAAGAAUACCAGCCACCUACAUAGAAAAUGAUACUGGGAGAUAUUUGUAUCUUUCUGGUGUAAUAGGGUGUCGAACACCCAACCAGGGCGUUCCCCUUUUUUUCUACAUCUUACAUUCUUAUCUUAUACUCUUAUUUGGACCAGUUUUACAGUUUUUGAAAUAUUUAUUUUACGCUUUGCAUUUUGAGAAUUUCAGGAGUAAAUUUAUGAAGUGUUCAGUGAUAAAAUGGAGUGAGACGAGGCAGAACCUGUCUGAGUGUGCACAGUAAGUAAGUGUGUGUAUUUGUGGGAGGGGGACUGGAGAUUUAUGUAGAAGAUUCAAGUGGAAAGGAUCUAUUACAAGAGAGAGGCUUAAACGGUUACCACUGCUCUGUAAUUUUUAAUAGAGUAUGUCAGAGGUGUUUUGUGAUUAAACUUCAUCAUGAGACCGUCUUUUUUAUUGAGGAAAAAGUACUGUUAAAAUACUUAUAGCUAAGAGGUACAUUUAGGUAUGUCUGUUAAAAAUGUACCCACAAUUCAAUGAUAUAUCAAUGUGCUUUAACGAUUAUUUUGCAUCUGAUUGUUCUGUAACUUGUGCUAGCAUCCCAAAACAAAAACAUGACAUGGUUAAAAAGCAGCAACCACAAAGCCAACUGACCUAAAGAUGGACCUCUGUGUCUCUGUGAUGAUCGUCUGGCCAGCACCCUCUUUCCUGGUCACCUGGAUGGCCAGUCCCGCCUCAUCAAGUUGAUCAUUGGUUACCAGGAGCAGAACAUGUCUGAGUACCUAAAAAAAGAGAGUGGGUGCAUUAGUUUCUCUCUGUGAACACCAACACACUAUUUGUUACACUCUCGCCCCCUGAGAAAAGCUCUGAAGA